rnacentral:lncRNA from 1 species
AUAAUUUUACAUUCCUACCAAGUGAAUUACUAAAUCUGUUCUUCCUAUUACCUCAACCCUGAUACCUAAUCCGACAAAAAGAGAGAUCGAAAAGAGAUGGGCCGGCGCUAUUGAUUGACGUACAUUCCAUCCAACCUACAGCGGUAAAAGAGGGCGCUUGCGUAAGUCGUUAUCCAGUGAGAACUCAGCGGCAGAGGCGGAGGCGGGCCUUGUGGAAACUGCUGCAGCAGGGUUGGCGGAUUUGGGAAGGAGUGAAGAUGGCGGAGUGAGGCGCAUCGCGGCCAGCCGGCCUUUGGGCCGGGGGCGUGAAGGCCCCCGGACGGUCGAGUGCUUCUACUGGCUGGUGAGAGGAAGAACAUUUUCUCUGGCUUCCAGGUGCUUUUAUCUUCAUCUCGAGAAGAAAAUAAAAUUCUGAACUCAGGAUUUGGCAAGAAUCACUCCUUCAGAAAUAACCAGUACAACUAUGCAAAGAUAUAUACAAGGACCCAAUACAAGAAAUGGUUAAAUUCUGAUAUAUACCUAUCAUUCAAUCAUGCAGGUAAGAAAUAAUUUACAUAUGGGCUGGUAUGGAAAGUUGAGAAAAGCAGGUUAUAGAAUAAUGUGAAAUGCCUUUAUGUCUAUGUGUAUUCACCCACAUGCAUAAAGAUUAUUUAUUUUGAACACUUAGUAUGUGCUAAGCACUGCUGUAAUUACAGUAGGUGUACUCAUUAAUUCACUUCAUCCUCACUACAACCAUAGUGUUUGUUUUUUUUUUUAACUUAUUUAGAGAGGAGAUCACAAGGGGGGGGUGCAGAGAAAGAAUCCCAAGCAGGCUCCACACUGUUAGUGCAGAGCCUGACACAGGGCUUGAACCCACAAACAGAUCAUGACCUGAGCCAAAAUGAGUAGGAUGCUUAAGCAGCUGAGCUACUCAGGUGCCCUCAGUCCUAGUAUUUUUUGU